UACGUAGGGUUCAAGCGUUAUCCGGAAUCACUGGGCGUAAAGCGUGCGUAGGUGGCGUGUUAAGUGCAAUGCGAAAUCCUGUGGCUCAACCAUAUGGACUGUAUUGCAUACUGGCAUGCUAGAGGACGGCAGAGGCAAGUGGAAUUACCGGUGUAGCAGUGAAAUGCGUAGAGAUCGGUAGGAACACCAAAUGGGCGAAGGCAAGCUUGCUGGGCCGACCCUGACGCUAAGGCAACGGAAAGCGUGGGGGAAG
rnacentral:rRNA from 1 species